UUUUUGUUUAAUUACAUGCAGACAAUUGGUCAAAGAAAGCUCAAAGGAGAAAGACUACAGGCACAGGCAGGAUGAGACAUCUCAAAGUUGUAUUUAGACGAUUUAGGAAUGGUUUCCGUGAAGGCACUGUCCCAAAGCCCCGUAAUAAGGUUGCAGCCCCUGCUUCUUCAGCUGUUGCUACUAAA
rnacentral:sRNA from 1 species